rnacentral:rRNA from 1 species
GGCAGCACGGGGGCUUGCUCCUGGUGGCGAGUGGCGAACGGGUGAGUAAUGCGUCGGAACGUACCGAGUAAUGGGGGAUAACGCACCGAAAGGUGUGCUAAUACCGCAUACGCCCUGAGGGGGAAAGCAGGGGAUCGUAAGACCUUGCGUUAUUCGAGCGGCCGACGUCUGAUUAGCUUGUUGGUGGGGUAAUGGCCUACCAAGGCGACGAUCAGUAGCGGGUCUGAGAGGAUGAUCCGCCACACUGGAACUGAG